rnacentral:rRNA from 1 species
CCUACGGGUGGCAGCAGUGAGGAAUAUUGGUCAAUGGACGCAAGUCUGAACCAGCCAUGCCGCGUGCAGGAUGACGGCUCUAUGAUUUGUAACCUGCUUUUGUACGAGGGUAAACCCGGAUCCGUGACUAGGGUUGAAAUUAUCGUACGAAUAAGGAUAGGCUAACUCCGUGCCAGCGGCCGCGCUAAUACGGAGGAUCCGAGCGUUAUCCGGAUUGAUUGGGUUUAAAGGGUACGUAGGGGGGUGGAUAAGUCAGAGGUGAAAUGUCGGGGCUCAACCCCGAAACUGACUCUAAUACUGUUGGACUAGAGAAUAGUUGCGGUAGGCGGAAUGUAUGGUGUAGCGGUGAAAUGCGUAGAGAUCAGACAGAACACCGAUGGCGAAGGCAGCUUACCAAACUAUAUCUGACGUUGAGGCACGAAAGCGUGGGUAGCAAACAGGAUUAGAUACCCCAGUAGUC